AGCCGGAAAGAGGACUCGAAGCCGUACAGUAUUAUACAACGGAGUAUUUGCAAAUACUCUGUAAACUCUAGAAGCCAGGCGCCGAAAUUGGCGUCAGUCCCCAACAUGACACACGCAACCCCUAACGAGGAGCCGCGAAAGUUAAAAGCCGGCAGCGCCAGUUCCCAGCUGCGAGAGGCUGCCCGGAGAUUAAUAAUUCAUAGGUUAUCCCUGUUAGCUGCAACCCCCAACGCUGACGCCGCCGCCGCGGGGCUGACGCGGACACGCGCGGCUCGCUGGCGCGGCGCCCCCUGCCGCCGCCAUUGGCGGAAGCGCCUUGGAAUUCCAUGACGUAGCGGCGGGGGCGGGGCGCCGGGGCUGUCCCGGCCCCUCCGCCCGCGGAGAGCCCGGCCCGGCCGCGGAGCCCACGGCGAUGGGAAGUGUUUUUCCUCCGGGAAACAGGGGACCCAGCAAGUCUUCCUCUCUCCUCCAGGGCUCCGCCGCCGCCCGCCCGAACGCCAGUAGUUCUGACUGACGUAAUACGCUUAAGAAAUACGGCAGGCCGGGCUAAGGGCUACAGGAACAGGUACGAGCCGGGGCAGCCCGUUAAGCUUUGCCACCAAUGAUAUCUGUGUGCCAGCAGGACGCUGCAGAAAGAGCCGCCCCAACACUAAAAAGACUCCAGAUGUCUUUCUUUCACCAGCUGCACAGAUAAGUGUUCGCUCCUCCUCUCUGACGGCCUUUAUCUCUGCAGACCACGGGGAUCUUCCACCCUUCAGCAUCUGUAAGCCACCGUGAAGAAAUCUAACCUAAUGAGAUUCCACCGGUUUAACCGACAACAUGCCAAGGACAACUGCAGCGCUUCAUCUUCACCCAGUGUAACCACCGCCAUUGCGAACGUGUCCACAUUGCUACAGGAAAUAAGGCUAGGGUGGAAAACAGCCGGUCCAGUUUGGAGCCAAAGAUGACUCAAGUGAUACCGGAUAGAAAGGAGGAGCAUUUAAAUCAGAAGUUGUCCAAGAUGUUUUUAGCACCUUUCACAGGACGUGCACAGCCCUCACCCAGCAAAGAGAGGCAGACUUCCACAGCCCAUACUCACUGUGUCUGGCUGAGUAGUGUACAUUUUCCAAAAUACUGUCUUUCAUCUUCGCCUUGGUGGGAAACUCUCAACUUGCCCAGGAGACUCUGGACAGAGAAAGACAGGCAUUUGUGGCAUCAGGCUGGAUUAGUUGCAAUGAGUGUAUCAAGUUGAAAAUACUGUUUCAAAACUGUUACUGAAAAAAACAAAUUGUUGCUUUGGAGCAAAGCUUCAAGCUCAAGCCCUUCAAGUAGCUCCCAGUCAGCUUCAAGUGCUGGUAUGCGGGACUGGCCCUGUUGGCCAAAGAGCUAAUGGAUCAGCUCCAGUAACAUCACAGGCUGCGUGAAGAUCCACAGACAACUGCAGCAGAUGAAGAGUGUGCCUUUUCUGAGGUUAUCGGGACAAAGGAGAAUAAGUGAGUCUGCAGUACGACUGUUUUUUAGCAACAUUGCAGGUAUCUUUCAGAAACAUUUAAAAAAGGUUUUCCAUUACAAGAGACAUUCACAGUUUGUUUUGUCACCAAACUCCAAAGACUCUCUGAUUGUCCUGGUUUUGGCUGGAUAAAGUUAAUUUUCUCCAUAGUAGCUGGUAGAGUGCUGUGGUUUGGAUUUAGGAUGAGAAUAAUGUUGAUAACCCAGUGAUGUGUUAGCUAUUGCCGAGCAGUGCUUGCACAGAGCCAAGGCCCUUUCUGCUUCCCACCCCGCCCCACCAGCGAGCUGGCUAGGGGUUCACAAGGAGUUGGGAGGGGACACGGCUGGGACAGCUGACCCCAACUGACCCAAGGGAUAUCCCACACCAUAUGACGUCAUGCUUAGCAUAUAAACCAGGGGAAAAGCUGGGCGGAGGUCUGCUGCUCAGGACCUGGCUGGGCAUCGGUCAGUGAGUGGUGAGCAACUGCAUUAUGCAUCACUUGUUUUGUAUAUUCUUUUGUCAUAUUAUUUUCCCUUUCUUCUCUGUCCUAUUAAAUUGUCUUUAUCUCAA